rnacentral:tRNA from 1 species
GGGGAUUUAGCUCAGCGGCAUAAGCGCCUGCCUUGCAAGCAGGCAGUCGUGAGUUCGAUCCCUAGUACCCA